UUUGCAGCCAAACCCAAAGAUCACGUCUUCUCUCAGUGGUGUGAUUUUGUCUGGUUUGCAGACAUUGACCUGAUCCUUGUCGCCUUUCUCUGACGCUGCAGUGUCUUUGAAAGUGAAUUCAAGGACCAACAGAU